rnacentral:lncRNA from 1 species
AGGCAAAGCCGGGAGAAACUGCUGAGACGAGAUUUCAAGUUGGUCUGUGGCUGGUUUCCUGCCAACAGGAGCCCACACGUCAUCCUCCAGGACUGCUUUCGUGGUGAGCGUGGCGCGGGACCACCUCGAGAAGACCCGGGCUGCAAGCCCAGGUGGCUCAACCCUGCCCAUCGGGGCUGGGUGGGGGCGGGGCAUUUUAAAGAAAAUAGAAGGAAGCGGGGGCCCGCUGCCAAAAAUCGUUGAAACAAAUGCCCCCCCCCCGUAACUCAAAUUUCUAAGCUAAUUCCUCUCUCUGUUCCCACCAGAAAAAUUCCUCCUGCUGCUUUUGCUCCAAGGCCCAGGGCUGGUGCUAUAAGAAACCUGCCUUUGUUAAGUAACAGCAGCUUUCUCAGUUUGGGUUCAUCAGGGGCAUCCAUGAGAUGCCUGUGCAACUUGCACUGGCCGGGAGAGUCUGAACCCCCACAGCGGGCUGGUAGAGAACCCCAUCCAAAGCAAAGAAAGGGAUGGUGUAUGGAGGCCGUGGUGGCCUGGCCCUCCGUCAGGUGCAGUGUCCGUCAGGGAUUUCAAGAGGCCGUAAAUAGCUUAGAGACACUCUCAUCCCAGGAAAGCCUUAGAGGGCCCCCAGGGAACCCCAGAUUGGGAAUCACUGGGCUAAGCCAGUUGGGAUGUGGAUGGUGCGUUACGCUCUGACAAUGCCCGCAGCCACGCCUAUUUCCCCAUCAAGGAAGGUCCCCUGACUCUGCCAUUUACCGGCUGUGUGAUCUUGGGUGGAUGGCUUUCCCUCUCUGAACCUCUGAGUCCCAUGGCGUCCCCUCCUGGGUUGGAAGCACUCUGGAGGGGCUGGGUGUCUUUUUUUUUUUUUUUUUUUUCCUUUUUUGGCCACCCUGCAGCAUUCAGAGCUCCUGGACCAGGGAUCAGAUCUGAGCCACAGUUCUGACCUACACUGCAGCUGCGGCCACGCCAGGUCCUUAACCCACUGUGCCGGGUGGGGGAUGGUACCUGCGUCCCAGGGCUCCAGAGACGCCGCAUUCCUGUUGUGCCACAGCGGGAACUCCUGGCCCACCGCCACGGCAGUUUGGCCGUGUUUCCCAAAGAGGCUCUGAAGCUCUGAUGCCAGAGAUUCACAAAGACUCCUGAAAAACAGCUUCCUUGCCCACUUUUGCUUAAAUACGCCAAAGUGCACUGGGAAUCUUGGAGAAGACACUCAAGACCACGGCCUGCCUGUACCCUGCACACCAAGGUUUUCCAGGGCACAACCUGGGAUCAGUGUUCCAAGGAGCACACUUUGGGAACCCAGCCCACGACAGGUCCUCCAGACUAAAAAGGUCUCUUUGUUUCUGUGUUCGUUACCUACUUCUGCAAAACAAAGCAUCCCAACUCAGUGGCUGAAAACCGUAAGAAUAUGUUAUCUCAAAGUGUGGGUCGGGAAUUCAGAAGUGGCAUUCCUGGCUGGUCCUGGCUUGUGGUCUCUUGUGAGUGAAGUCACCUGACAGCUUGCCUGAGACGGGAGGGUCUUCUUCCAAGAUGGUACACUCACUUGGCGGGCAGGGCAGUGCUGGCUGUCGGCUAGAGGCCUCGGUUCCUUGCCACACAGACUCCUCCACGGAGCUGCUUGGGCUCCCUCACAAUAUGGUGGCUGGCUUCCCCCCAGAUGGAUAGAAGAGAGCAAGACCGAAGCCACAGUGUCUUUUAGGACGUGGCCUCAGGACGCAGUGAUGGCUACAGGGAUCCAGGCGUGUUUGCCUCCUGGAAAUGUGCAGAAAAAUCCGUGACCCGUCUGAACCCACGUGGAGAAAACUGGAGGAGGAGUGAACUCAGGAUGGAUGAAUAAUGCCAAAGAUAAACACGUAAUAAAUAGGUAAAAACCCUUCCGUGGCUCCUCACUCUCCUCGGAAGACAGUCCAAACUUGAGAGUGGCCCUGUGGCCUUUGGGGGCCAGGCACAGACCAAGCUCGCACACCGAGGGGCUCGUCACCUUCUCUCCCUUGGACACACAGACUGGACUGAAUGGUGCCAGCUUCUCCUCUUUAGAACCUCACAUCCUCUGCCUGGCACACUGUCUCCUCUUCUUGUUACUUGCUAAAUGUCACUUCCUCCAGGAAGCCCUCCCUGCCUAAUUGACUUUAGUUCAAACCCCGGGCUCCCGCUGCACUUCUUUGUAGCCCUCGUCAUUGUAAUGAUCUAAAAAAAAUCUAAAAAAACCCAAA